rnacentral:lncRNA from 1 species
UAAUGUAUCUUCAUACCCAAAACCACAUAAAGCACUAACAAGUACUACCCAAAAAGUUCAGUGGUAACAAUGUAUAAAGAUAAUCAAACUAGGGUAACCUAUUGGGUCCCAUCAAAAUUAACCUAUGCAGAUCAUUAUGAUUAAUCAGAACAUGGCUGGGUAAAAAGAAGUGAUCAAGAGCACAACUUGCCUGGGACUUGAGAUUCCAGGUACCAACUUGCUCUUCAGAUGACACGUAACCUCGCGCUAGUCGUAGCAGUACAAACAAACAUAGUAUAGGCAAAAUUAACAUCACACCAAACAUAAGAACAAAGUGCAUAAGAAUAUUCUACGCGUUACUACGAGAUCGUGGGAUCGAGAACUAGUAAAAUCGGAGUCAUGGUUAAGGAGUUAUGAUUUAUGGGAGAUCUAUGUGAAUUAAAUAUUAUAGAUUGAUUAGUAUACAUCAUAUGAGAGAGAUCACUCUAUAAAUAAUUAAUCUCAACUUUAAUUUUAAUUAUACUUAACUAGAGAUCAUGUUUUAACCAAAUUAUAAUUAUGGUCAGGUUGGUUUGGAUUUAGAAGAGCUAAUCUAGUAGACAUAGGAUGAUAAAUAUCUAACUAUAAAAGUAUGCGACAUGGUAUACUUUAUGCUGUUACUGUGUAGUAAAUAUUUAUACGAAGCUAACGCAACUGGAACGAGUCAAUUCAGAAUUAAAACGAAGGAGUUAUGAAUUUCCGAAGGUUUUAUGCAUUUGAUACGAGAUUAAUUAAGAGAUAAAUUUUAAUAUGGUUUUCAUGUCAAAACAGAGACACUAUGUGAUGAACAAUAUUAUUACAAAAUUACAUGAAUGGGAAUGAGCUAAAAAAGAGUUAAAAUGAAUUUUAUAUGAAUUUUACAAGUUUCUAGAAUUGUUGUUGUAUUAAAAAUCAAUUUCUAUAUUAUUUUUCUCAAAUUCCUCAGUUACUGGGCUGGGCGCAUAAAUAAACCAAAAGUCAGGGGCUAUCACGUAAGUAUCCCAAGACCCAGCGCACAGCAACAGCGGAUCGCUGGUUGAUUUAAUAAGAAGAUAGAGUCUCUUUAACAAGAUAGCCUGGCCCAAGGGGUAUCCAGAGCCAUGGCCGAUUGAUCAAAAAUCAAUGGCCAAGAUUAAAUCUAUCCCACCCAUGAACCAGUAUCUACUGGUGACCACAGGAUCCAAAAUCAGCGGCCACGAUCGAAAUCUCUAAGAUCUAAUCCUGUCCACAUGAUCCUGCCUCAACGGUCGAGAUCAGCCUACGCGAAGUGGUACGCGCGCUCUCAUCUCAGCCGCACAAAUCGAGAUCGACGAUCUAGCCACCGCCUUCUACCUCCUGCCACGGCCGGGCAGCAACUACGAACGGCCGGGGCCACCCCCACGCUGGAACGAAUGGCGCAAGGCCCUGAGGCCACAUUCUAGUGCUACAAACGGCACAAGGGACGCGGAGGCCUUAUGGACACAGAAGGGGAAAAUCUUACUGGUAGAUUUGGACGCUGCAGCGCUGCACGCGACGAUUAGUGCCCCGAUGGCAAUGCACAGCUUCGUCGAAGGAUUGCAUGCACAUCAGCUACUCUGGUCACCGAGCACCCACGAUGAAGUCACGGGUAUGUGCGGCAUGCACUGGUCGUCAUCCACCAGCGCCGCUUGGCCAUUGCUGAGGACAUGGGCGAGGAUAUUACUAUGGCGGCAAUCUCAGCUCUCCACAUCAUAGCGCUCUCUGGUGCUUCAGUACGUCAAUGGCCAAGGGGAGUCAUAUGGAGCUUGAUUUUAUAUCCCAGGG